GCAUUUUUAGCUUAGUUGGAUAGAGCAACAGCUUUCUAAGCUGGUUGUCAUAGGUUCAAAUCCUAUAAAAUGUU
rnacentral:tRNA from 1 species